UGGGGAAUAUUGCACAAUGGGCGCAAGCCUGAUGCAGCCAUGCCGCGUUUGUGAAGAAGGCCUUCGGGUUGUAAAGCACUUUCAGCGGGGAGGAAGGCGUUAAGGUUAAUAACCUUGGCGAUUGACGUUACCCGCAGAAGAAGCACCGGCUAACUCCGUGCCAGCAGCCGCGGUAAUACGGAGGGUGCAAGCGUUAAUCGGAAUUACUGGGCGUAAAGCGCACGCAGGCGGUCUGUCAAGUCGGAUGUGAAAUCCCCGGGCUCAACCUGGGAACUGCAUUGGAAACUGGCAGGCUAGAGUCUUGUAGAGGGGGGUAGAAUUCCAGGUGUAGCGGUGAAAUGCGUAGAGAUCUGGAGGAAUACCGGUGGCGAAGGCGGCCCCCUGGACAAAGACUGACGCUCAGGUGCGAAAGCGUGGGGAGCAAACAGG
rnacentral:rRNA from 1 species